GAGGUAACGUCACACCAAGUCUGCGAUCUUUAGGGGGCCUGAGAGGGUGAUCCCCCACUCUGGUACGGAGACACGCCCCACACUCCUACGGGACGCAGCAGUGAAGAAUUUUGGACAAUGGGAGGAACCCUGAUCCACCCGUCCCGCGUGAAAGAUUAAGGUCCUAUGGAUUGUAAACUUCUUUUCUUUUG
rnacentral:rRNA from 1 species